rnacentral:lncRNA from 1 species
UUUUUUUUUUUUCUCUUUCUUCUUUUUCAAAAUUUCAAGUGAUCCACAUGAUGGUUUUUUAAAACCAGUCUCUAGUUUCUGUGAUCUAUAAAUUUGACAUCCUCUAGUCAUACGAACAUGUACACACAUCAACUUUAAAAAAUAAAAAAAAGGAUAAUUCUUGAGGCAUAAAGAUGCGGGGUGGAAAGGAGCCAAGGAAGGGAGGCUGACUGGGCAUGUGGCCUCUGCUGGGAGUCUGGUCUGGCCUUUAGGACUUCCCCGGUGAAGAACCUCUGCUUCUGUUUUAUCCAUUAUCCUCCCAGCUUGGGGUACCAGGAUGGGGGCCGGGGGUGGGCGGAGGAGAGGACCUCAUCUUUGCUCUCUGGUCGUCUGCCUUGUUCUCCUCCAAGAGUCAGGCUAGGAGACAGGAAUGAACCCUCCUCCUCUCUCCCCACAUCACAGAGCUGCCUUGGCUUCGCUUUCCUCUUGGGUCAUUCUGGGCACUGGGCAUUUCUAAGCAUUUGAGAGAGUGCCCAGCAUGUGCUAAGGCCCCAGAGGCUGGCAGUGAGCAUUGGCUAUUAUUCUCUCCCUCCUGACACCUUGGGCCACCAUUGCUCCUCUUUGUUCUUGUACCUGGCCACUUGUCAGCUGUCCCAGCUCUGCCCUGUCCUGUGCCCUGGCUGCCCAGGUGGCCUUUCUAAAUGUCCUUCUGAUCACUCCUCCCUCCUGCUUCAGACUCUGAGUUGGCAGCUUUGCCGAGGCUUUGCGGCUGCCCCGCCUGCCUGUGCACUCUCAGUUCAUAGCACUGACUCCUUGGCUGCUGCCAGACCAGCCAUAAUGAACCGUUUGUAGUUGUAUACACACCCCCUACUGUUCUGCACUCUGCUCCUUUGUGUUUGCUGGGCACCCCACCCCCACGUGAAUUCCUGCUGGCCUUUCCCAGCCCUGUCUGCCUGACCCUGGAGGGCCCUUUCCCUUCUCUAGUGGAGUGAGUUACUGCUUUGCACAACUGGCAAGCUGCCUGUGUUACGGACGCUGCAGGAGAACCCUUGCUCUCAGGUGGUGUGGCACCACGGCUCAGUCAAGUCCCUUCACCUCGUUGGUUGAUGUGACAGACUGUCCAGGUUACCCAGCUCCUGUCACCUCUUUCCUCAUUGUUAAGUCAGGAGUAAUAGAGAUGACGUUCAUUGGAUUGUCUGAGAAUCUAAUGAGACCCCUGAAUUAGUCAGGGUUGUCUAGAGGAACAGAGCUGAUAGAAUGUCUGUCUGUCUGUCUGUGGGAUUUAUUUAUUAGAGUGGUUUGUAGGUUGUGGUCCAGCUAGUCCAACAAUGGCUGCCUACCCAUGGAAAGUCCAAGAGUUUAGUAAUUGUUCAGUCCAUGAGGCUGGAUGUCUCUGCUGGUCUUCACUACCUGCUGGACUCCCAAAGAAGUAUGCUCUAAUGCCAGUGAAGGAACAAAUUUGCCAGUGAGGAUGAGGGCGAGCAGGCAGAGUGGCAGCUUCCUUUUCUGCGUCCUUCAUUUAGUCUGUCAGCAGAAGGUGUAGCCCAGAUUAAAGGUGUGUCUUCUACCUCAGGAGAUCCAGAUUCAAGGAGGGUCUUCCAUUUCAAAAGAUUUAAUUAGGAAAACUCCCUCCCAGGUGUAUGCAUCCGCUUGGGUUUUAGACCCCUUGUUAAUGUACACAGAAUUACAUCUCCUUAUAGCAUGCUUAAUUUCCAAAUGAAAACAAUAACCAGGUCAUAAUGUUGCCUGACAUGAUAAAACUAUCCCAGGUACAAACCACAAAUGUAUUAUACAUUUUAGAAUAGGUGACAAUGUUUCUUGAGAGACAUUCUUUUAGUAUCUCAGGAUUUAAAUAUGAGAAUCAUUGAUAUUCUUUUAAUUGGUGUUAUUACAUUAUGUAAUAAAUCCGGAAGGGAAAUACAGAUAUCUGCCCAAACACAUUCUUAACAAAAUGUGACAGAAAUACUCAAGCCAAUUAUAAUCGUCUUCCUGCAACUGCAUGGCCUUAGCUGGUAUUUAUAACUACCUUCCUCUACUACUGUAGUCCCUCCAUGCUCUGUAAGCACCUCAGAGUCUUGGCUCUUGUCCUGGAGGAGUGACUCAUAUCUUCAUUCCUGAAGGGCCUGUACACUUUGACAUCCUGCCUGGAUUAGGCUGUUGUAGUCUCCUAUUGACUUUUAAUCAUAGGACGUGGUAGCACCAAGAAGUGCCCUGAAGGCUCUCUGGCACUCCAGACAUAAUCUUUCUUACCUCCGUUGUGGAGAAGCAGUCCGGUUUCCCCUUGGUAAUCUGGACCAGUCACCCCAUUAUUCCUUUCUUAGCGUGUUGGCUUAAUGGCAUCAGAAGGCCAGAUUGGCCAGGGGUUUGUCUGAGCUCCCGGUUCAGUGAGAUGUUUGUUGUGACUCCUGGCAGGGUUGCUCCCCACUCUAGAACCAAAACUUCUAGGUCAGCAGAACUUAAAGUUUUUGCAGUGGGAUACUCGGGGUGAUGGUCACGGGAAUCAUCUUCCCCUUCAUCCCUUCUGCACCCGUGGAUCCCACUGAUUGAAGAAAUUGUACCACAUAGUGGACACAUAAUGGGGACCCCAGGCCUCUAAGCUGCUGCCACCUAAUUGGCCCUGCAAUUGUGCUUCGAAAGGCCAUUCCAUCAUUCUGCUUCAGGAUGGUGGGGAACAUGGCAAGACCAGUGGAUUCUAGGACUUAAUUGUUUUAUUGUUUUAUGUACCACC